UUGCGUAGGUGGUAUGUAAAGCGAAUAGUGAAAGGCUACGGCUCAACCGUAGAUACAUUAUUCGAACUCACAAGCUAGAGCAUAGUAGAGGUACCUGGAAUUCCCAGUGUAGGAGUGAAAUCCGUAGAUAUUGGGAGGAACACCGAUGGCGUAGGCAGGGUACUGGGCUAUUGCUGACACUAAGGCACGAAAGCGUGGGGAGCGAACA
rnacentral:rRNA from 1 species